rnacentral:rRNA from 1 species
GACGAACGCUGGCGGCGUGCUUAACACAUGCAAGUCGAGCGGUAAGGCCCUUUGGGGUACACGAGCGGCGAACGGGUGAGUAACACGUGAGUAAUCUGCCUUUGGCUUGGGAAUAACUUCGGGAAAUCGGGGCUAAUGCCUGAUGUUUACUGUCUGCUGCAUGGUGGGUGUGGAAAGAUUUUUUGGCCAGGGAUGAGCUCGCGGUCUAUCAGCUUGUUGGU